GAUGCAGCCAUGCCGCGUGUAUGAAGAAGGCCUUCGGGUUGUAAAGUACUUUCAGCGGGGAGGAAGGGAGUAAAGUUAAUACCUUUGCUCAUUGACGUUACCCGCAGAAGAAGCACCGGCUAACUCCGUGCCAGCAGCCGCGGUAAU
rnacentral:rRNA from 1 species